GACGAACCAUGCAAACGUUAUUCGGAUUCACUGGGCUUAAAGCGUGCGUAGGCGGUCUUGUUAGUCAGGUGUGAAAGCCCUCAGCCUAACUGAGGAAUUGCGCUUGAUACUGCAUGACUAGAGAAUGAUAGAGGUGGGUGGAACUGAUGGUGGAGCGGUGAAAUGCGUUGAUAUCAUCAGGAACACCAGUGGCGAAGGCGACCCACUGGGUCAUUUCUGACGCUGAGGUACGAAAGCUAGGGUAGCGAACGGG
rnacentral:rRNA from 2 species